rnacentral:rRNA from 1 species
GACAGAGGGUGCAAACGUUGUUCGGAAUUACUGGGCGUAAAGCGCGUGUAGGCGGCUAUGCAAGUCGGAUGUGAAAGCCCUCGGCUCAACCUGGGAACUGCAUUCAAAACUGACAAGCUAGAGUAUGGUAGAGGGUGGUGGAAUUUCCUGUGUAGCGGUGAAAUGCGUAGAUAUAGGAAGGAACACCAGUGGCGAAGGCGACCACCUGGACUGAUACUGACACUGAGGUGCGAAAGCGUGGGGAGCAAACAGG